GACAGAGACAGGCAGAGUAGGAAACACUCCUGUGUGUGUUGUUGAAGCUUUCAGGGUCUUUCACCAAGAAGAUCUGAGCUGGAGCUGAGAUUUAUCCUGAAGGUGGAUCAACCAAUCAGCUCUCACAGACACUGAAGCUCCUCUGUCUCAGAGAUGGUGGUUAGAGUGGUUGUUAAUGGACCCAGAGGGCAGAAAUUGGAGGUGGAGGUAUGUGAGACUGACGAGGAGCUGAAGAGAUUCACCGUCCGACAGCUGAAGGAGAAGAUCUGUGCUCUACCAGGAUACACAGGUGGUGAAGAUGAUCUACGACUGCUCUUCACAGACAAGCUGUUAGAAGAGGACACAGCCCCCCCGUCUGACUAUGGCGUCAAACACAUGUCUGCUAUUAUGGUGGUUUUCAGAGUUCCAGUAGGAUGGGGACCGCCCAUGUAUCAGAAGGCAGAUAGUGGGAUGGGUGACAGAGACGGUCAGAAUCAGAGCAUGGACCAGCUCAGUAAUUUUAGGUGCCAACUGUCCCAGACCUCGUCCACACACAGAACGCUUAUAUCCUGUUUUUUUUUUUUUUUUUAACAAAAGUCUGUUCUAAAAAGGCUGUUUUUAAAUAAUUUUAUUUAUUCAUGAAAAUCAUCCAAACCCAUCUGGCUCUAUGUUUACAAAGGUUACAAAGACAGUUCUAAGUGACCCACAGUCAGAGCCAUUACCCACAAAUAGGGAAAACUGUGAACAGUGGUGAACCUCCUCAGGAGUGAUACAGAGGUGAUGCAUGUUAAGUUGAUCAAACAGGCCUGUCUGUAAAAAUAAAAUCAGAAGUGAAUAAAGAGCUACAUGUUCUAUGGAUAAAACAUACAAACCUAUCUCUAUAGAUGUGACCCUGCUGUGUGUUUCUGCU